CAAGGUUUGAAUUUCUCAGACUCUUAGGUGUCUGCUUAUAUGUUCCUAUCCCUCACCUUAGGCCCACCGGUGCUAUUUUCCCAGUGUAAACAACCCUUACAUCAGGCCCUCAGCUUGGUCUUCACCUGUGUCUGUCCUCAAACUGAGGGGGAUGAGGAACUCUUUCAAAUCUGUCAAGGGAAGUUAUUAAUUUUUCCUGUGUAUUUUCCGUCAAAUGUGCAACAGCUUUACAUCUCUCAGUUCCUUGCAUUAUAGAGGCAUCAAAAUACCAGCUGAGGCCCUGCCUUCAUAAUCACUUUGGAUUCCAGUGUGACUGAUGGCCUCAGGCACUUCAUCUCCGCAGGCCAUGGUCCCCUGCUGCUCUCCAUCCCAAGCAAGACUCUACUGCAGGACAGGAUAUCUGUGCCCUACCCGCAUACAACCAGGUGGCUGCCCUGCAUAUCUCCAAAGGGGAUGAACUCAAUCACAGAAUGCUCUAAGAGCCUUUUUCCUCACACCACUCCUGGUACCAAUGACCAACCAGUCAGGGUCCUGACAAGAUAACAAAUGGCAUGCUCAAUUUGGAUGAUUUGGGGAAAAUCAGGAAUCUAUUUAUAAAGUGGUUCUCAAGGGCCAAGGAAACCACAAAGCAUUGCCUUCCCAGGAUUGGAAGGAGCGGGACACCACACGCCAUCACCAUCCCAAGCCUAGAAGCUGGGGAGAGACAGUAGUUAUCAGCAAAGAGAGAGGAAGAAAGAGGUAGCACAGGGGUAUUUAAGAGAAUCUCUUGGUAGAAUCAGUGACUUUUGGUCAAAUAACCCAGCCUGAGGUAAUCCAUCUUGGAUGGAGAAAGAAGAAUGGAAAGCUG
rnacentral:lncRNA from 10 species